UACAGAGGUCUCAAGCGUUGUUCGGAUUCAUUGGGCGUAAAGGGUGCGUAGGCGGCGCGGUAAGUCGGGUGUGAAAUCUUGGAGCUUAACUCCGAAACUGCAUUCGAUACUGCCGUGCUUGAGGACUGGAGAGGAGACUGGAAUUUACGGUGUAGCGGUGAAAUGCGUAGAUAUCGUAAGGAAGACCAGUGGCGAAAGGGCGG
rnacentral:rRNA from 1 species